rnacentral:rRNA from 1 species
GGGAAUUUAAACCUCUUCCAGAGUAUCAAUUGGAGGGCAAGUCUGGUGCCAGCAGCCGCGGUAAUUCCAGCUCCAAUAGCGUAUAUUAAAAUUGUUGCAGUUAAAAAGCUCGUAGUUGAAUUUCUGCUGCAUUGCUUUUGCUCCUUUACGAGUCUUUGCAUUGUGGCUUAUUUCGGACUUUGUUUUACAAUGUCCGGAUGUUUACUUUGAGAAAAUUAGAGUGCUCAAAGCAGGCUUUCGCCUUGAAUAGUUUAGCAUGGAAUAAUAAAGUAGGACUUUGGUUCUAUUUUGUUGGUUUUAGGUACCAAAGUAAUGGUUAAUAGGAACAGUUGGGGGCAUUCGUAUUUAACUGUCAGAGGUGAAAUUCUUAGAUUUGUUAAAGACGAACUACUGCGAAAGCAUUUGCCAAGGAUGUUUUCAUUAAUCAAGAACGAAAGU